ACUAAAUUUAAGUUAUUUAAACUAUUUACUUUCAAAGUAAAAUAAUUUAUUUAG
rnacentral:tRNA from 1 species